rnacentral:lncRNA from 1 species
CACACACUCUGCUGUGUGCAGGCGCUGUGUGUGUGAAGGUGCUGUGUGUAAGGGUGCUGUUAGUGUGUGGUGUGUGUGUAUGUGUAAGGGUGCUGUUAGUGUGUGCUUUGUGUGUGUGUGAGGGUGCUGUGUGUAUGUGUAUGUGUGAGGGUGCUGUGUGUAAGGGUGUUAGUGUGAGGGUGCUGUUAGUGUGUGUGUGUAAGGGUGUUGUUAGUGUGUGCUGUGUGUGUAUAAGGGUGCUGUUAGUGUGUGCUGUGUGUGUGUAUGUGUGAGGGUGCUGUGUGUGUAAGGGUGCUGUUAGUGUGUGUGUGUAAGGGUGAUGUAUGUGUGUGUGCUGUUAGUGUGUAAUGUGUGGGGGCCGUUUAGUUAAUAUCCCCCCUCCCUUCUUACCUUCUAUAGGGAGGGGGGACCGUGCUGCUGCCAUCCCUCGUGGUCCAGUGGAGAGUGAACUCUAGCCCCAUUUGGGGCUAGAGUUCACUCUCGCGAGAUCUGAGCGUUGCCACGGUAACCGGCGGUAACGCUCCGACCGCACGAGAGGAACCCAGCGGAGCUGCUGGCAAGAGCUCCCCGGGUCCUCUCCUGCCUCCCUCCCUGCCUGUGGGUUGGUGAGGGAGAUAUUUGAUCUCCCUCACCUGCCCACGGAGGGAGGCACAUAGCACGUGACGCGGGGUCUAGGGUGUGCCCAGGCACACCCCAUGCGCAUGUCUAUGAUGCACCACUUAAAUCUCAAGGAUGGACGGUGUUUUCAUUGUCAAUAUAAGAAACUAAAUAGGUUCUUCCACGUGUGAGUUUUGUUUUGUUUGUCUUUUAAAUUUCAUGAUUUAGACCAGGGGUUCCCAACCCAGUCCUCAAGUACCCCCUACUAGUCCAGGAUUUAGGAAUCACCCUGUAGUGUCUAAAGUGUUUUUGUUUUUCCCUAAAAUGUAGUAAUCCUUAAAUCCUGGACUGUUAUGGGGUACUUGAGGACAGGGUUGGGAACCACUGAUUUAGACCAAUGAUGUGUACCUCAUUCAAAAACUGAUAGAGGGCCAAAGGUCAGACGGUUUGCUCUUUUUGGACAGAUAAAUGGGGAAAAAAGAGUUCUAGAAAGCCUGGCCUAGGAGCACACACAUUAGAACAAUAAUUGCCAUUUUUUACCAACAGAUUAUUUGGAACCUCACACAUCUGGAAUCAAAUAAAUGCCAUUAGUGUGUGUACUUGGUAUUCACUUGUAAACGACAAUUUUAAAAUGUUCAACAUCAUAUCGAUUUAAGCCUGCUCUCCAAUCAAUAUUGCAUGAAAUUGCAUGUUAUAAUGGCUUUAAUCAUUGCAUCACUUCCAUAGAGCAUGUGGUAGUAGUUGUGUACUCCUAACAUGUUCAGGUGCGCUCUAAGUCCAUUGAUGAGAUUUCGAAUGGUACUGCACUCUUAAAUGAAUACAGCACCACUCAAAGCGUUGCACAGCAUUUGUUCUUUUUGAGACAUUUACAGUGCCUCUUUUAUCAUGGAAAAUAUAACACAAACCUGUUUAGGAAAUAAAGAGGUAAACCAAUCCCACAGGCUAACCAUUGUGUUAAAAUAUUAUUUAAUCCUUUGUUUAAAUCAGGAUCUGAUUUUUUUUAAAAUAGUAUCUGCAAUUAAUAAGAUCACACAUACUUCCGGAUCAGUCUUCAAAAUAACAGAGCUCUAGAUAAAUAAUUUGGCAAUAAAAGGCCAGAACCCCUAAUCAGUGUGAAUAUUCUUAUAUCACAUGACCAGAUCUUCAAUUAAAAUGAUUUCACAUAAUUAAGUAGGUUGCAGAUAACAACCAGCCCCUUCAUAAGCCAAACUAUCCAUGCACACAUGUAAUGUACCUGCAAAGUAGGCAGUGGGAGAGUGUCACCAUUUAACCCCUUAAAGGACCACUAUAGUGCCAGGAAAACACUUGUUUUCCUGGCACUAUAGUGCCCUGAGGCAGUGGCGGAUCCAGAGCCUGAUCUCGGGAGGGGCACUUGUAGAUUAUUUAAAGAAAUAAUCCAGACACAAUAACCACUACAGCUCAGUGUAGUGGUUAUGGUGUCAAUAGUGCCGGGACCCCCUCCCACAGUAAGUAGUCAAACCGUUUAAGAACAGUUUGUCAACUUACCUGCUGGGAGAUCUGCUGGGAAAUGGGGCUGUAGUAGGGCUUAGGAGCAGUGGUGUGUGUGAGUGGUGCAAUGUGUCAGGG